AGUCGAACGGAAAGGCCCCUUCGGGGGUACUCGAGUGGCGAACGGGUGAGUAACACGUGGGUGAUCUGCCCUGCACUCUGGGAUAAGCCUGGGAAACUGGGUCUAAUACCGGAUAGGACCGCGCGCUUCAUGGUGUGUGGUGGAAAGCUUUUGCGGUGUGGGAUGGGCCCGCGGCCUAUCAGCUUGUUGGUGGGGUAAUGGCCUACCAAGGCGACGACGGGUAGCCGGCCUGAGAGGGUGACCGGCCACACUGGGACUGAGAUACGGCCCAGACUCCUACGGGAGGCAGCAGUGGGGAAUAUUGCACAAUGGGCGCAAGCCUGAUGCAGCGACGCCGCGUGGGGGAUGACGGCCUUCGGGUUGUAAACCUCUUUCAGUAUCGGCGAAGCUCCGUGGUUUUCUGCGGGGUGACGGUAGGUACAGAAGAAGCACCGGCCAACUACGUGCCAGCAGCCGCGGUAAUACGUAGGGUGCGAGCGUUGUCCGGAAUUACUGGGCGUAAAGAGCUCGUAGGUGGUUUGUCACGUUGUUCGUGAAAACUCACAGCUUAACUGUGGGCGUGCGGGCGAUACGGGCAGACUAGAGUACUGUAGGGGAGACUGGAAUUCCUGGUGUAGCGGUGGAAUGCGCAGAUAUCAGGAGGAACACCGGUGGCGAAGGCGGGUCUCUGGGCAGUAACUGACGCUGAGGAGCGAAAGCGUGGGGAGCGAACAGGAUUAGAUACCCUGGUAGUCCACGCCGUAAACGGUGGGUACUAGGUGUGGGUUUCCUUCCUUUAGGGAUCCGUGCCGUAGCUAACGCAUUAAGUACCCCGCCUGGGGAGUACGGCCGCAAGGCUAAAACUCAAAGGAAUUGACGGGGGCCCGCACAAGCGGCGGAGCAUGUGGAUUAAUUCGAUGCAACGCGAAGAACCUUACCUGGGUUUGACAUGCACAG
rnacentral:rRNA from 1 species